rnacentral:lncRNA from 1 species
CUGCAUGAUGCUACUCUUCUCUUCUCCCUCGUCUAUAAAUUCAUCUGCUUAGUAGUUAGCACCACCAUCUCAUCAUCAGUUCACCCACAAGCCAAGCACUACAACACCUAGCUGAAUAUACAACCUGACACAAAAGUUUCUCUGAACUUUCAGCCAAGAAAUUCAGAAGGAGAAGCAACCAUGGUUAGUGCGAAGAGGCUUGCUCAAAUGGCAAAGAAGUGGCAGAGAAUGGCAGCCAUGGGGAGGAAGAGGCUCAAGCGGACGACAUCGACAAGAGCAGCCGACGAGUGCUGCACGACGUCAUCGGUGGCGGUAAAGGGCCACUGCGUCGUGUACACCGCCGACAGGGGUCGGUUUGAGGUGCCGUUACAGUACCUCGGCACGGCCGUCUUUAGUGAGCUCCUGAGGAUGUCUCAGGAGGAAUUUGGUUUCGCAGGCGGCGAUGAUGGCCGGAUCACGCUGCCCUGCGACGCCGCUGUCAUGGAGUACGCCAUGUGCUUGCUCGGGAAAGAUGCCUCCGCGGAAGUCGUGAAGGCCUUCCUGAGCUCCGUCGCGACGCCCUGCUGGUUUGACGGCGGUGUGGUGGCGCCAUGCGUAGGGUUUAACCAGCAUGUAGCCGUUUGCUAGCUUCAGAAGAAUGGCAGCUGCUACUGCUAGGAUCCUUGUUGUAGCCACCGUUUUGGUUCGACGCAAAGUGUAAAUAUGAAGUACUAGUUGGUUAGAAAUGGAACAGUUUUUUAACCGUUGAGGUAUAAAUGAAGGAACCUUCUUUCUCUGUCAGCUUAGCCUUUAUUGGGUGAAUUGGUUCAACCUCAAGGAAAACCACAUGAUCUGGCACCUUCCGCUACAUCGACACGAAGUACCAUAAACGGGGAUGCUCGGCAUGUCAUGCUGCUUCUCAUCACGACCAAGCCACCAAUCACCAAUGGCGCCGUCUUGUCUCCGGAUAGGACUUGCUUAGAGAUUUUUUUUUCCUUAUUUUUAUGUAAUAAAGUGGCACAUUUGGUACUUUGUGACUGUGUGAGUCCCGUGCGCACAAGUGGGGGGUUGAUGCCCUGUUGGUUAACUCGGUUGUAUCGCUUGAUAUAUAAUGUUGAGAUCAAUCUAUAAUCUUCUAUUUUCGAAAAAAUAAAUGAAAUGAGCAGCUCUAUUGGACCAAAUUUCUCGGUUAGAACCUGAGAUGCAGCGUAUUUUGUUUGUGAACAUAAGGCUAACAAUUUUUAACGAUAUGCAAAUUGUUCUAACCGUUCUUGCAAAUUCAAGCCUUUUUUUUCAUAUGGUCAGAAGACCGUAUUCUACUACUGUCAUGAAGAUAACGGAACAAAGUACUGAACCCAAGUUUCAACCCCGCACGGAAGUUUUUCACAUACCUGCCGCAUAUCGCUAACAAGAACACAAGCCAACUACCAAAAUAUUGUACUUCCUCCGUCCAACAAAGAUGUCUCAAUUUUGACUAAAUUUGAAUGCAUCUAUACACUAAGUCAUGUCUAGAUACAUUCAAAUUUUGACAAACUUGAGACAUUUUUUGUUGGACGGAAGCAGUACAUGUAAUGGAACUGGAGAUGCCCGAUUAACAUAUGGCCCACAUGCUGAUUCAGAGGGGAACUUGCCAGUAUGUCAAUGCAUGCACCCUUGGAUGUGAAACCAAUGAAGUAAGCAAAGCACUGGAACCUAGCAACUACUAGAUCAGGCAAUUAGCCCCAUCAAAAACAUGGUCAGAGGUUUCUCAAAAAAAAAAAAACAUGGUCAGAGAAAGUUUAAGCAUUGCAUUUGCACCUGCUCAUGGAUUUGCCCCUUCCUUCCCAGCUUGCCGCACUGACAAGUGCAUGCACUUCACCCAGCCUUUCCCCCAUCUUGCUUUUCCAUCGCCUAUAAAUUAAGGCACUGAAACAGAUCAAUUGCACUAUGACCAUCACUACCAAAAAACCAAUCAUCACUUUCUAAUUAUGCCAAGCAGAUUUGUAUGUUUCCAAACUGAAAGAACUCAAUGCGAGAUUAAAGGACAUGCAUGUACCAAAAUAUGAUCUCUAAAUAUAUGCAGGUUCAGAACUAAAAGUGCUGCGGAAAGCUGGACAACUCAAUGCUGAACAUGUAUGUCCAGAAGGAAUUAAUACAUGUGGCCUAGCAUUCUUAGAGAGUUUUCCAUUCUUGAGUUAUUCUUAUGUUUGCAUAAAUAGAUAUUUCUAAGAAACCAUACUAUAACUGGAAACAUCGCAUUUCAAAUAUAAUACAUGCAUGUAUUGAAACCAAACAGUCAACAGAAAGCCCAUCAGAGACAUCUGUUUCAGCUUGGCAACGUGAUAAAACCACUUUCAGAUGAAACAAACGUCGCUUUGCAAUCACUUUGGUGCUUACUCCUGUACCCAAAAUAAAUAAAAUGCAAGGAGCAAGCCCAUGUGAUAUGCCGGAAAUCAAGCAGGUCUAGUUUCAUCUGAAAGUGUACAGAGAAUAGAUAUAUUAGGGGCAUGAACAAUGCAUAUCACAAUGUGAGGAAUCCAUCAGGAGAAGCAAAUAGGUAGCGUAACUGAUCAGUGCUCACCGAAAUUGUUCAGUCCCUGAACCUGGAUGCCAUCGCUGUCUCCUUGCAAUUGCCGAUAGCCAUGAUCUCGGCACGCCUCUUGUUCUCAACGCGUUCAGUAUGGCAGCCACACAUGAUAAGAA